rnacentral:rRNA from 1 species
UACGACUACAUAUCAGGCAUAUCAAUAAGCGGAGGAAAAGAAACUAACUAGGAUUCCCUCAGUAACGGCGAGUGAAGCGGGAAGAGCUCAAAUUUGAAAUCUUCAAGGUUUUACCUUGACGAAUUGUAGUUUAAAGAAGUGUUUUCUGUUGGUGUUUUCGGUAAAAGUUCUUUGGAAUAGGACAUCAUAGAGGGUGAGAAUCCCGUAUUUGACCAUUACUUCCAGCUGUGUGAUACACUUUCAAAGAGUCGGAUUGUUUGGGAAUGCAGUCCAAAAUGGGUGGUAAAUUUCAUCUAAAGCUAAAUAUUGGCGAGAGACCGAUAGCGAACAAGUACCGUGAGGGAAAGAUGAAAAGAACUUUGAAAAGAGAGUUAAACAGUACGUGAAAUUGUCAAAAGGGGAAGCGUUUGACACCAGUGUUGUUUUCUCGAAAAUCAAUUAAAAAGUAUGGGAUUUUGUAUUGUUAAGACCUUAUCAGCUUACGGUACUUUUUUCUUAUUCUUUUUAAUGCACUUUUCGUUUAACAAGUCAACAUCAAUUUCUUUUGUUGUAAAAGAGUCAUUGGAAGGUGGCUUUCACUUCGGUGAAAGUGUUUAUAGCCUUUGGACUUCUGCAAUCGGAGAGAUUGAGGUCUGCAGCGUAGAUCCUUCGGGGUUAGAUACGUAGAUGCUAAGUUAUAGUUUUUCAUAGACAACUUGUUGACUAUGAUUAAUCAUGUAGCUUACUCGUUUGCGCUAUUUUACCUACGCUUAGGAUGUUGAAUCUGUGCGAGACUAC